AAAGAAAAUGUAUAGGUCAAAGUCGGGACCCUGGCACGAUGAGAUGAUUUUUGAUAAAAAUGCAUCACAGCUUUCAAAGACUUGUGGCCUUACAGUAGAUUUGGAAUAUGAAGAUGGCAUAGAAAGCAUCUGAAGAUUAAAGGACAUAGAAAAAACGGAGAAUGGAAAACACAUGAAAGCCACAACACAUUCCGGCUGCGUAAAAUAUUUGUAGAUCAAAGCAAGAAGUGAAACAUCAACGAAAGAGACACAAAGGCAGACGUGAGGGAGGCACCAAUGCUGAGUAUACACCUGCCAAAAACACUAAAUAGAUGCAGAAAAAACGGACAAAUGAAACCAUGAGGAGGUACAGCCAUGGGGAAUAUGCAAUAGAAAGUCAUAAAAUGCCACCACUUUAUCACUCUCUAUAUUGUUAUCAACGGAAGAGAAUUGAUUUUGGUCAACUGUAUAACCGCUAGGCCCGAGUAGCUUUCUUAUCCUUUAUAUUGUUUACAUGGUGCUGUUAUUUUUUGCUUUCUGAUAUGGCUAUUCUCUAAUGUUACCCUUCUCCGCCAGGGAAUUGUGGCCUGUUUACUGCUUUUGCAAUAUUUUCUCUUGUAAUUGAACUUUUUUUUUUUUUU